CUGUAACACCUCUCCCUGCCCCCCUCCCCACACUGUAAUCCCUUCUCUCUCUGUGGGAACGCGGCCACAGGUCGCCAUCCAUGCAGAAAUGGCAGGUGCCAACUCUGCUUCUGUGUCGGGAGGACAGGGAGAGGGCUCAAGGAAGCAACUCUCUGUAGGGGUGACUGAGUACAUGAACUGUGUAGGACCAAUGCACUACUCACCAAUGUGCCAUACUGCAGAGAAACUCUGAGGAUGGUCCUCCUGGCUUGGCAUUACUGGACUUGCUUUGACAAGCAGUUGAAAUAGAAAUAAAACUAGCAUAGAAUUAUGAAGACUCAGGGAAGCAUUACUGUAACUGGGUAAUUUUCAAUGGGACUAAUGAGAUGGAGGAUUUGUAUUAGGGCUCAAAGGAUUUUUUUUUUAAUGUCUCCAGUAACAGAUUAUCAUGGACUAUGACCACAUUAAAAUAAAAGGAAUAAGCAGUCUAGAGGAAAUAUCCCUAGCACCAGGAAGGAGCAUCACAAUAUAAAAUAAAACGUUUCAGUCCACACAGGGACUUAUCAUGAUCAAAUUUUCAUCCGAAAAUUUGUCAAAUUUGCAGAAAUUUAAAAAUAUAUAUAUUUUUGUAGUGCAUAGUUUAACAGACAUGCUUGCAUUAACAAUUCAGAUGAUUAUAUAUCAUAAUAAAGAUAGUAAUGAUAACAUGAAGUCAAGAAUACUGCACUGGUGGGGGGGGG